rnacentral:rRNA from 1 species
UACGUAGGGUACGAGCGUUGUCCGGAAUUAUUGGGCGUAAAGAGCUUGUAGGCGGUUUGUCGCGUCUGCUGUGAAAUUCCAGGGCUUAACCCUGGGCUUGCAGUGGGUACGGGCAGACUAGAGUGCGGUAGGGGAGAAUGGAAUUCCCGUGUGUAGGUGGUGAAUGCGUAGAUAUCGGAGGAACGAACCAGCGGCGAGGCGGAGUG